UCCGUAGGCGGUUUGAUAAGUCAGUGGUGAAAGCCCAUCGCUCAACGAUGGAACGGCCAUUGAUACUGUCAGACUUGAAUUAUUGGGAAGUAACUAGAAUAUGUAGUGUAGCGGUGAAAUGCUUAGAUAUUACAUGGAAUACCAAUUGCGAAGGCAGGUUACUAUCAAUAUAUUGACGCUGAUGGACGAAAGCGUGGGGAGCGAACAGGAUUAGAUACCCUGGUAGUCCACGCCGUAAACGAUGGAUACUAGCUGUUGGGCGCAAGUUCAGUGGCUAAGCGAAAGUGAUAAGUAUCCCACCUGGGGAGUACGUUCGCAAGAAUGAA
rnacentral:rRNA from 1 species